rnacentral:lncRNA from 1 species
GGAUUUUAUUCAAGUAAAAUAAAGGAAUUUCAAAAUCAUAAGUAAAAUGAAAUUUGCACACAAUGAAAAUUAAAUUAUUUUAUCUAAGGAAAAUUUGGAAGCAAAAGAUUUGAAUUGCUGUAUCAAAACAACAUAUAUUAAAAAUGAAAGUCUGGCUAAAUCAUCAAACUUGUAGUCCUUAUAUUCUCAGUGCAUUUGGUUGGGAGGAAAAGUCACGGAAGGUGACUAGAAAUCUGACCAAGAUUAGAUUAGUCAUGAACAUAGUGGGUAAUACUCUGCAUUAAUAACAAUAACAUGAUUAUCCAAAAAUAAUAUCAUGCAUUUGAAUUACUUGAAAUUUUGAAAUCAUUUGUCCUAAAAUAGUUAUUUUGCAAAUGAGUAAUUUCUAAUCAUUUAACAAAACAUCGAAAAACCUAAUUUUGAGACCUUCCGUCCCAAUUUUCUCAGUCGUCAGGUCAAACACAAAAACAAUGUUACAAUUCAACAAUAUAAUGCAUAUUAUGCAGAACCUCGAAUUGAAUAAUUAACAGUUUACAAACACAAGCCUUUUUCUUCCCAAUUUGUGAGGUAGCAGCAAACAGAGCAUAACCAGAAAGAAUAGAUGAAGAAGAUAAAAAGGGGUUACUGCAAUUGGAAGCUUGACAGAAAUAGUGCAAGAGAUUCGUCCCCUUUUGAUGUCGUUGACUUUGAGGAAGCUUCCAAAGAAGUUGGAGUAGAAGCCGCUGGUAUCGAAACUCCGUGGAAUGGCUCUGUCCAUGCCCAAUGUUUUAAGAUAAUCGAGAGUUAGAGAAACAUGUUUGUCGGGAAUUGAAGACAGUGUUUGGGUUUCAGAAGCAGAGGAAGAAGCUUUUGACGCCAUUAGGGACUCUUACACAAACACCUCUUUACCUUUUUUUGAAGUGGUUUAGUUUUUAGUUCUUGUUCUGUUCAAAGGGUCUUCAUCACUCUUGAUCACUUUACUCAGUUUCGCAGUAGUUUAUAUUUAUCUUUUACUUUAUUUUUAAAUAUAUAUAUAUAUAUAUAAUUGAAGGGAACACAAAUAAUAUUUUUUUUUAUGUGUCUUCACCUAUGUAAUACAGAAACUGAUACAGAUAUUGAUACGACACACGAAAAUAGGUAUAAUCUCUCUAAAAUGUAAAACACGGAGAUAUGAGGCACGGAUCUAUAUAUUAUAUAUUUAUGAAUUAUAUAAAUUGACGAUAAAGAUUUAUGUGUACAAGUAUUUUCAAUUUUUUUUAGCCGAAACAUGUUUUUCAUGGCUGGUUGAAAAUGAUUUGUUCCUUAUUUUUAUAAUCAUACUAAAAAUUUAUAUAAUAAAUUUGAAUUUUUAAAAAAUUAAUAUAAUUCUUCUUUUUAAAAUUAUAUUAAAAUCGUACUAGAAUUGUUAUAAAUCUAACAAAUAUUUUUUAAAUUACACACUUCACUUAUACGUGUUUUAUGAGUGUUAUAUAAAUGUCGAUAUCGAAUACAUGUAUCUGACACGGACACGUUAUUUAAUAGGAGUGUUUGAACCUCAUAGGUAGAUCGUCACUAGAAUUUUCUCAAAAUAUUAUAAAAAACAUAUUUACUUAAAAAUAGGAGAUGUAACACGUGGCAAUUGUCUACCAUAUGUGUUCGACUCCCUAUAUGCAUGUCACGUAUGUGCAUCUUUUCUUUCUCAUUCAAAAAAUGCUACACAUAAUUACUGUUUAGCGCACAAAGAUCAGAAACCGAAGAAUGCAAGUAUACAAAAUACAUGUGCACUUUGAAAAUUAAAAUUUGAAGUGAAUCGUAUGCAUGUAAAUAUACCAAACCAGUACUCUGCAAUUUUCCUGCCAUGAGAAGAGUCUUUUCCCUACCUUUCUAACCUACUAAACAAAAUCAUGAUUAUAAAUCAAGAUUCGAAUUGAGAAUUUUUUUUUAAUUUUUUUAAUUGUAAGUCAAUUUUUAUUAUAAAUGAUAAAAUACAUAAUAAAUAAAAUAUGAUAUAUUUUGAAAUAAAUAAAAAUAAAUAACACUAAUAAACACUAGUAUAAAAUCAUUAAAUAAAAAUCAAUUUUAGAGACUAAAAAUAGUUAGGUGAUAUAUCGAUUAAAUUAGAUACUAUUGUAGAGACUAAAAAAUUAUUGGUUUCUAAAUUAAUUUUUAUUAUAAUAAAUAGUUUCUAAAUUGGUAUCUAAUUAGCUACCAAGGUUUUAACUACCAAUUAUUUAAAUUCUAAAUUUGGUAGCAAAAACCUUGGUAGCUAAUUAAAUAUCAAUUUAGAAGCUAUUUAUCAAUAAUAAAAACUAAUUUAUAAAUCAAUAAUUUUUGUAAUCUCUAAAAUGGUAUUUAAUUUAGUUUAUCUAACAAUAAAUUUUUUUUGUCUCUAAAAUUGUCUUCUAUUUAAUUAUUUUCUUGUAGUGAAAAUUGAUUUUAAAAUAAUAUAAACAAAUUUUAUUUUAAAAUAAUUUUUUUAAAAUAAAAUAUAAUAAAUAGAAACUUAAAUAGUUUUUUAUAUAAAAAAUAAAAUUAGUUUUUCGAAAAUAAAUAAUCCUAUAAAAAAAAUUUAAGAGUGAUUUAGUUUUUUUAAAAGGUGGUUAAGCUCUUUUAAAAGGCAGUUCAGCUUUUUUUUAAAAUGGUUUAACUUUCUAGCUACGUAGCACAAACACUGAAACUGAUACAACACGGAUACGGAGAUACAUAAAAUUUAUAAAAUGUAGGACACGGAUCUAUAUAUUAUACAAUUAUAAAUUAUAUAAAUUAACAAUAAAGAUUUAUACAAGUAUGUUCCAGAUUAUUUUUUGGAGCAGAAAGAUAUUUUUCAUGACUGGUUCACAAGGAUUUGUUUCUUAUUUUUAUAAUCAUAAUAACAAUUUAUACAAUAAAGUUUGAAUUUUGAGAAAAUUAAUGUAUUUUUCCUUUUUAAAAUUGUGUUACAAUCGUACUAGAGUUGUCAGAAAUAUAACAAAUACUUUUUGAAUUGGACAUUUCACGGAUACAUGUCCUAUAGGUGUCAUACGACUGUUGAUGUCCGAUGUAUCAAACACCGACACGUCAUUUAAGAGGAUUGUCCAAGCUUCAUAGCUUUAUAGAUUAAGUGCGGUUCAAUUUUUCUUUAUAUAUUAUAAAAUUUAAAAUUGUGCUUCCUUCUUGUAACAAAUAAACUUUAUUAAAGAAUUUUUUCUUCUUCCAAAGAUCUUUGUCUCGUUCGUGACCCUUUUUCUAUGGUGAACUUCCUCUUCUCCAGUAAUUGAAUUUUUUUUUUCUUUGUUCCUCACUUUUCUUCUUUAUUGGAGAUCUCACAUCGACUAGAGAUUAGAACAUUUCAUUGUAUAUAGGUGGGUGCAAACCUCAAUCUCAUGAGCCGGUUUUAUGGGGUUGAGUUAGGCUUAAAGUCCACUUCGUAAUAUGGCAUCAGAGCCAUUUUCGAGCCUAUCCUAGUGAGUGUUGUUGGGCUUAUCAGACCACCCGUUAUCGGGCCCUUAUCGGACCACCCAUAAUAUGUUAUCCCAUAUUUAUUUUCUAUCGAUCUAUUCUCUUCUCCAUUGUCGUUCUUGACUUUAAUUAUUUUUUUUUUCUUCUUUUUAAGAUUUUUCCAAAAAUUAAUUGAAUUGGAAAUAAAGAAACAGAAUCGUGAAUCUCACAAUUCACUCUAUUCAUGUAACAAUUCAAAUCCUACCUAAAAUGAUUCAUCUUCUAAUUUGAAUAGACAAAGUCAUUUUGAUUCGAAUCAUAUGAUUCAUACGAUUUUAACUAGCAUGAAUAGAAUAUCCACAAUAUCACAAUAGUAAAUUUAGUAGAGAAUUAUGUGAGAAAAUUCAAUUAUGAAAUGAACUUAAACUGAUGAAAAUUUAUCGCGGAUUUUAUUCAAGUAAAAUGAAAUUUGCACACAAUAAAAAUUAAAUUAUUUUAUCUGUGGAAAAUUUGGAAGGAAAAGAUUUGAAUUGUUGUAUCAAAAAUCCUAAACCCUAAUGGGUAAUACCAUGCAUUAAUAACAAUAACAUGAUUAUCCAAAAAAUAAUAUCAUGCAUUUGAAUUACUUGAAAUUUUGAAAUCAUUUGUCCAAAAAUAGUUAUUUUGCACAUGAGUAAUUUCUAAACACCCAUCUCACAAAACAUCGAAAAACCUAAUCUUGAUACCUUCCAGUCCCAAUUUUCUCAGCCGUCAGGUCAAACAAAAAAACAAUGUUACAAUUGAUCAACAAUAUAAGACAGUUUAUGCAGAACCUCGAUUGAAUAAUUAACAGUUUAAAAGCACAAGUCUUUUUCUUCCCAAUUUGUGAGGUAGCAGCAAACAGAGCAUAACCAGAA